rnacentral:rRNA from 1 species
UGAGGAAUCUUGCGCAAUGGAGGAAACUCUGACGCAGCCACGCCGCGUGAAGGAUGAAGGCCCUAUGGGUUGUAAACUUCUUUUGUCAGGGAAGAAGAGCGGGGUUUCGACCCCGAAGUGACGGUACCUGAUGAAUAAGCACCGGCUAACUCCGUGCCAGCAGCCGCGGUAAUACGGAGGGUGCAAGCGUUGUCCGGAAUCAUUGGGUGUAAAGGGUGCGUAGGCGGGCCUGUAAGUCUGGGGUGAAAUCUUGCCGCUUAACGGUAAAAUUGCCUUGGAUACUGCAGGUCUUGAGUGUGAGAGAGGUCGGUGGAAUUCGUGGUGUAGCGGUGAAAUGCUUAGAUAUCACGAAGAACACCUGUGGUGAAGACGGCCGGCUGGAUCACAACUGACGCUGAGGCACGAGAGCGUGGGGAGCAAACAGG